rnacentral:rRNA from 1 species
AAAUAGGCGUCCCACGUUCGGACUGCAGCCUGCAACCCGGCUGCACGAAGCCGGAAUCGCUAGUAAUCGCAGAUCAGCAUGCUGCGGUGAAUACGUUCCCGGGUCUUGUACACACCGCCCGUCACACCAUGGGAGUCGGAAAUGCCCGAAGUCAGUGGCCCAACCGCAAGGAGGGAGCUGCCGAAGGCAGGUCCGGUGACUGGGGUGAAGUCGUAACAAGGUAGC